rnacentral:rRNA from 1 species
GACGAACGCUGGCGGCGUGCUUAACACAUGCAAGUCGAACGGAAAGGCCCUGCUUUUGUUGGGUGCUCGAGUGGCGAACGGGUGAGUAACACGUGAUUAACCUUCCCUUUACUUUGGGAUAACUUCAGGAAACUGGGGCUAAUACCGGAUAGUAGCUCCUGCUGCAUGGUGUGGGUUGGAAAGUUUCGGCGGUUGGGGAUGGACUCGCGGCUUAUCAGCUUGUUGGUGGGGUAGUGGCUUACCAAGGAUUUGACGGGUAGCCGGCCUGAGAGGGUGACCGGCCAAAGUGGGAAUGAGAUACGGACAAGACUCAAACGGGAGGAAGAAGUGGGAAAUAUUGCAAAAUGGGCGGAGGCCGGAUGCAGCAACGCCGGGUGCGGGAUGACGGCCUUCGGGUUGUAAACCGCUUGCGCAGGUGAAGAAGAGUGAGUGACGGUAAUGGGUAAAGAAGCACCGGCUAACUACGUG